rnacentral:ncRNA from 2 species
UCACAUCACCGCGGGAGCUCGCGCCACAGCGGGCUGAGAGGGCGGCUGGAGUCGAUCACGACCCGGUGCCGCCGACCGCCUGAACCUGUACUGGGUAAUGCCAGCGUAGGGAGGAUCUCGAUGACAUCG